rnacentral:tRNA from 1 species
GGGUCGUUAGCUCAGUUGGUAGAGCAGUUGACUUUUUAAAUCAAUUGGUCGCAGGUUCGAAUCCUGCACGACCCA